CAGGGUGGCAAUAGCAGUGGUGUGAUCAUGCAGCCUCGACCUCCUGGGCUCAAGUGAUCUUCCUGCCUCAGCCUCCCACGUAGCUGGGACCACAGUAUGAUCCACAGGGACCUGAACAUCUUGACAUUCUACAGAACAUAAUGCCAGCUGGACUUGGUUGAACAAAAUAUGGCCCCUCUGCUGCCAGUCUGCUGGUGUUUGCUGGAGGUCCCUUCCUGACCCUGUUUGCCUGGGUGUCACCAGUGGAGGCUGCAGAGCAGCAAAGAUUGCUGCCUGUUCUUUCCUCUGGAAGCUUCGAUCCAGCAGGGCACCUGUCAGAUGCCAGCCAGAGCUCUUCUGUAUGAGGUGUCUGUCAGCCCCGACUGGGAGGUGUCUCCCAGUCGGUAUACACAGGGGUCAGGGAUCCACUCGAGGAGGCAGUCUGACCCUUAGCAGGCUGGAACGCUGUGUUGGGAGGUCUGCUACUCUCUUCAGAGCCAUCAGGCAGGGAUGUUUAAGUCUGCUAUAAGCCUCUGACUGGGCUGCUGCCUUUUUUACAGAGAUGCCCUGUCCAGGGAGGAGCAAUCUCGCAGUCUGAACACAGCAGCCUUGCUGAGCUGCAGUGGGCUCCACCCAGUUUGAACUUCCCAGCAGCUUUGCUUACACUGUGGUGGUAAAACUGCCUACUCAAGCCUCAGCAAUGGCGGACGCCCCUCCCUCUACCAAGCUCCACCGUCCCAGGUGGAUCUCAGAUUGCUGCUGUGCUGGAAGUGAGAAUUUCAAGCCAGUGGAUCUUAAGUUUCCUGGGCUCCGUGGGGGUGGGAACCGCUGAGCCAGACCACUUGGCUCCCUGGCUUCAGCCCCCCUUUCCAGGGGAGUGAACAGUUCUGUCUUGCUGGUUUUCCAGGCACCACUGGGAUAUGGAAAAUAAAAUAAAAUAAAAGCUCCUGCAGCUAGUUCAGUGUCUGCCCAGUUGGCCACCCAGUUUUGUGCUUGAAACCCAGGGCGCUGGUGGGGUAGUCACCAGAGGGAAUCUCCUGGUUUGCAGGUUUUGAAGACCAUGGGACAAGUGCAGUAUAUGUGCCCAAGUUCCUCAAGCUGAGACCCUCACAGCUUCCCUUGGGUCGGGGGAAAAUUCCCCGACCCCUUGCGCUUCCCAGGUGAGGUGACACCCUACCCUGCUUCGGCUCACUGUCUGUGGGCUGCACCCACUGUCCAACCAGCCCCAGUGAGAUGAACUGGGUACCUCAGUUGGAAAUGCAGAAAUCACCCACCUUCUGCGUUGAUCUCGCUGGGAGCUGCAGACUGGUGCUGUUUCUAUUCGGCCAUCUUGAAUCUCUCUCCUGAUCCCUGAGUUUUCAGGGAGACUGAUUAUUUGAGUAAUAAUAAAAC